rnacentral:lncRNA from 1 species
GGAGGAGGCAGAGCGCGAGAGGUCCCGUCCGCCCCAGCCGCGUCUGGGCCAGGAUAAAAGCAAAACCAUAUUCCUGCUGCUGUCAGUUAUGAUGCACUGAGAAAACUUCAGAGACCUAAACUUUUUCCAGAGAAGAGAAGCUUUACUGGUGUUCCAGCCCUAAGGCUCAUAUGACAUUAACAGACAAGACACUUUUCAGAAAGACAGGCAACGUGUUGGACCUUCCGGAGCUUCUCAGAAGACAGAGGGUUUUCUUUUGAGGAUUUAAACCUCAGACACAGGGAGCUGACCUAUUCACCUUAGAAUCCUCUGGGGCACCCAUUACAGUGUCUGUACCAAGGAGGCAACAAAGAACGGCGGAACAGACUGGAGCAGAAGGACCACCCAGCAGAGCCAAGCCAAAUCACUGACCCUCAGAGGCCUGAUGUGAAUGCUUAUGGCUUCAGUCCAUUGGAUUCUGCAGUAAUCUGCCGAUCUACAGUAUUACCACAGUAAAUAACCGAUAGACCUGAAAACGAAUGCAUGCCUUGUGCCAAAAUUGCAGGAAACCUCACCAGGAGAAACAAUUUUAUAUGAGGGAAUGUACUCUCUCCUUUGCAUUUUCCCUCAAAUCUAUAUUUUUAGCCC